GCGCCGCUCUCGUGCCAGCACCGUGUGUCCCGUCGCGCAGCGUACCAGCGUACAGCAGCAGCACAGCCCGAGCCCGGAAACAUGCUCCAAGCAACCACGCGACCGGACCUUACCGCGCGGAAUUAGUAUACGAGUACUACAAUUCGAUUUCAAUCUCGGCGCGCGCGCGAGUUCCCUAUUGAUAUAUAGAUAGAUAUAUAUUAUUAAAUCGUGACUUUGUACCCAGUGUGUCCUGUGGAUUACCGCUAGCAGCACGGAGAAAUAAUUUUGGUGGUGUCGCCAGCAACCCGCCGGCGUCUCCACGCGCCGCCACCACCACCACCACCACCGCCGCCAGAGUUUGGUUUAUCCUUUUUUCUCGAUCUACGCUGUCCCACGCCAAGCCAACACGCUGGAACAUUUACGGCCCAUCGUGGCGUCGAUCAACACCCUCAACUCUACGUCUGAUACUAUGGAGGCAACCUAUUGCGUCGGCAGUGAUGUAGAUGUUUGCAGGAUGUUUGAUCAGUAUUUAUACAAGGUAUGUUGCAUUCCUGCGUCGAAUUCAAUUUAGAAAACCUAUCUAUAGUUGUGGACGUGACUGCGGUCAGCGGAGCGAAAACGUUGACCUCUCGCUGAGCAUUCCGAAUUCGAAUUUCCCGCACAACGGAUACAACAUGGGCGAUCAGACGUUUCACACGCCUAGUUUUGGCGAUGAAGAGUUUGAUAUACCAGCGAUCAACCCUCAGCAGCAACAGCAACAACACGGCAUGUAUCAACCGCCGAUGAGUAUGUCACUCAGCCAUCAACAGCAGGAUGCGUUGGGUAUGCAUGAUCCCACCGGGGGAUACCAGCAGCCGUUGUACCUUUCGGGGCCUGAUCAUGGCAUGGUCAAUGCGUCGUACCACAGUCCCCAGGCUAACUACAGUCACAGCCUCAGUCCCAGCCAGCAACAACAGCAGCAGCAGCAGCAGCAGCAACAACAGCAACAGCAACAACAUCAACAACAGCAUAAUACUCAGCUGUUGAUGAUCCAACAACAGCAGCAGGCGGCGGCAGCGCACCAGCAGCAACAACACCAUCAACAGAUGAUGAUGGGACAUCCACAACAACCACCCGGUGGACAUGCGUAUGGUACAUCACCGCAGCAUCCGCAGGGACGCGGCACCACCAGCCCGCCGGCCGGCCCCGGUCAGGAGCCCACCACCAGCGAGGAUAGCGAUGACAGCACGCCGCAUCCGGCAAUGUUGACCGGCGGCAUGAAGCGACCGUCGCCCGAACCCGCCGAAUCGAUAGCCAAAGUCCAGAAGAAACCCAAAGUGCAAAAGAAGAAGAAGAAGCGGGAUCCGAACGAGCCACAAAAGCCGGUGUCCGCGUACGCGCUGUUUUUCCGUGAUACUCAAGCCGCCAUAAAAGGACAGAAUCCGAAUGCUAGUUUCGGCGAGGUGUCCAAGAUUGUCGCAUCCAUGUGGGAUGCGCUCGACUCCGAGCAUAAGAACGUAUACAAGAAGAAGACAGAGGCGGCAAAGAAGGAGUAUCUGAAGGCACUGGCAGCAUACAGAGCCAGUCUGGUGUCAAAGGGAGCUGGUGAGGGUGCCGAAGGUGGCAUGUACACCGGCUACACCAACUACGGCAACCAGCCGGCGCCACAGUAUGGAGGAUAUUCACCACAGAACGCGCUACCGUCACCACCGACGCCUCCAAGCCAACCGUCGCCAAUGUCAAAGAAGCCGCCACCGAUGAUGCCCAGCCAGCCGCACGCGCCUAUGUUGCAGCCGAUGCCCGGACACAUGAGCAUGCCGCCGCACAUGCAACCGCCGCCACAUAGUAAUAAUUACAUGCAACAGCAGUAUUUCGUGUUAGGCUCCCCAGCAACAAGCAGUCCAGCACCAGCUUAUGCAGCCACGACGUGUCAGUCCCCAGCCAAUGGCUUCAAGCAGCCCGCCGGUCUCGGCACCUGCACCUACAGUGCCCACAUCCGUGCCACAGCAGUCGCAGAUGCGACCUGCUAACUCGUGCAUUCGCCAUGGCUGCCCCAACCUUGCUAUUUCCAAUCAGGAAUGGGAGGAUGAAUACUGCAGUAAUGAAUGCGUAGUUAGCCAUUGCAGGGACGUAUUCUCUACGUGGGUGGCAUCCAAUCCAAACCAAUCGCAAAACUUUUCGACGGUGAAAUAGCUAUCGAUCGGAUCGCGGACCGUCGCGGCGCCAUGGCUGGAGGGAGGGAGGACUUUUGUAUAUUCUCUAUCACAGAAGAAUGAACUGUAGCAAUAUUGAUAAUAGUUUUAAUACACACCUAGGGUAACACACAAUGGACGCGAUAAUCGGAUGCGAUAGACGGCACACAAUGUUUAUAUGUCGGCGAAGGAGGCGGUAUGAGGGCGAGAGAGAGUGUCUGACGAUGAUAUUGUACAUACUUUAGCCGGGGUGGGCGAGGCGGAAGCGCGCCGCAUUGUGUGCGCGGCGCGCUUUCACAACUAGACAUACAAACUGACACAACUGUACCCAACCUUUGAUUAGGCGUAUAACGAUGUAUUAUAUACAGACAUACUUUGUUAAGCAUGCUAUUGUACAAGCGUGCGUCCUCGAAAUGUAAGUGACGAUGAAGGUAAUCUAAGUUAGGUAGAAUAUAUCCAAAAUUAAACUGAGCAUAGGAUUACGGAUACCUAGAGUUAUACACAACCAGCGCGUUGUGGACGAUGCAUCAAAAUAUUUGUAAAUGAUAAAAUGUUGUUAAUCAGAAUGGGCAAGUCCUGUAAAAUAUAAGUAACUAGUACGGCAUCGCGGACAACAGGGAGGGGACUCGCUUGAGGAAUGAUUUGCAGUACAAUUUUUGAUCUUAUUUAAAAGUCUCGUUUCUAGUUUCGUUCGUGACGGUCGCGUCGUGUUCUCUGUGAUGUCGUAGGUCGGAUAGUGAUUAGGGUGUACAAUUAUUUUUAUAUCAUUGACCAAUGACGUUACGCUUGUUUGUCGAUGUAUAUAAAGACCUCUUUGCAGUUGUUAAUUUUAUUGUUAUCGAUGUCGAGCAUUCGGCUCGCGUGCUAGCGCGCGCGCGCGCGCAUCCCCUAGUAUUAAAAAUACCCAGCGGUGAAGGAUGUAUAUUUGUGAAUAUGUUGAUUUGUUGGUAGCCAAAUUGUUUAAAACAGUGCAUAUUCGUUGUUUGCAUGCAAUCGGCGAGCAGCGGGCCGGACGCUAGACGCAUUGAUUUUCUUUCUACUGUCUUGAACAGUUUGGUAAAUGUGAGAUAAUAAAUACAAUGUACAUUUCAUGAAGAAAUACAAAAUCUUGAGCGCUGGUCUACUGAGCGCCAGCGCAUACACUAGAUAAGAUAUAUUAAUUAUCAUAACUAUAAAAUAUCAUAAUUUGUUUUUAUUUGUAAUUUUAUUUCGUGUCCAAUUGGAUUUGCGGCCGCAGGCCGCUCGAUUCCGUCGUCGAUCGUUGAUUAUCUCGAUGGAAUGACGAUCAUUAUCUUCGAUGAGCUUUAAAAUUGUUGAGUACAAUUUUCGUUUCAUUACAUUGUAAAUAUCAUAUAUUUUAUCUUGACAUGAUGCACACUACCUAUACUAUGUAACCAAUUAAUAUUUAAAAAUAAAUAAAAAUAGAUUCUAAUUGAAAGAAACCAAA